CCUACGGGAGGCUGCAGUGGGGAAUAUUGCGCAAUGGGCGAAAGCCUGACGCAGCGACGCCGCGUGAGGGAUGAAGGUCUUCGGAUCGUAAACCUCUGUCAGCAGGGAAGAACGGUCACUGUGCUAAUCAGCAGUGAAUUGACGGUACCUGCAAAGGAAGCACCGGCUAACUCCGUGCCAGCAGCCGCGGUAAUACGGAGGGUGCGAGCGUUAAUCGGAAUUACUGGGCGUAAAGCGCUCGUAGGCGGUAUGUCAAGUCAAGGGUGAAAUCCCCGCGCUCAACGUGGGAACUGCCUUUGAAACUGGCAAACUGGGGUGUGUGAGAGGGUAGGGGAAUUCCAGGUGUAGGAGUGAAAUCCGGAGAUAUCUGGAGGAACAUCAGUGGCGAAGGCGACUAUCUGGCACAUAACUGACGCUGAGGAGCGAAAGCGUGGGUAGCAAACAGGAUUAGAUACCCCAGUAGUC
rnacentral:rRNA from 1 species